rnacentral:rRNA from 1 species
UACGUAGGGUCCGAGCGUUGUCCGGAAUUAUUGGGCGUAAAGGGCUCGUAGGCGGUUCGUCACGUCGGGAGUGAAAACUCGGGGCUUAACCCCGAGCCUGCUUCCGAUACGGGCAGACUAGAGGUAGGCAGGGGAGAGCGGAACUCCUGGUGUAGCGGUGGAAUGCGCAGAUAUCAGGAAGAACACCGGUGGCGAAGGCGGCUCUCUGGGCCUUACCUGACGCUGAAGCGCGAAAGCUAGGGGAGCGAACGGG